rnacentral:rRNA from 1 species
GACAGAGGUGCCGAGCGUUAGGCGGAAUCACUGGGCUUAAAGCGUGUGUAGGCGGGUCGUAAGUGUCUUGUGAAAUCCCCCGGCUCAACCGGGGAAUGGCUGGGCAUACUGGCGAUCUUGAGCAGUCUAGGGGCAGAUGGAACAAGUGGUGGAGCGGUGAAAUGCGUAGAUAUCACUUGGAACGCAACGGUGAAGACAGUCUGCUGGGGGACUUGCUGACGCUGAGACACGAAAGCCAGGGGGAGCGAAACGGGG